AAAGAGUUAAAUAAUUAUAAAAGUUAUUGUAGCAAAAUUAUUUUAAAUAAUUAUUUUGAAAUGAAAUGUUAAUCGUUUUUAAAUAUAUCUAGUUUUUUUAGAAAAAAAUUUAAUUUUAAAUUUAUUAUAUAAUUAAUUUUAUUAAUUAAAUUAAUUAUUUUAAUAAAUUUUAUAUUUUAAGGGAUAAGCUUUAAAAAUUAAAUUUUUAUAGUAAAAAAUUUUUAUUUUGAAAAUUUUAUAAUUUAUAUUGUUAAUAAAUUUUAUUUUAUUAUAAAUAAUUUCAUAUUUAAUAAAAUUUAAAAAUUUACAUUUAAUUUUUUAUAAAAAAAUAUUUUUUAUUGUUUAAAAAUUAAAUAUAAUGAUAAAAUUAGUAUAUUUAAUAAGUUAAUUUAAUUUUAAAUUAAUAUUAAUUAUUUAAUUAAUUAAAAGGAAUUCGGCAAAUAUUUAUUUUCACUUGUUUAUCAAAAACAUGUCUUUUUGAAAUUUAUUUAAAGUCUAAUCUGCCCACUGAUUUUUAAUUAAAGGGCUGCAGUAUUUUGACUGUACAAAGGUAGCAUAAUCAUUAGUCUCUUAAUUGGUGACUUGUAUGAAAGAUUGAAUGAAAAAUAUACUGUCUCUUAAUUAUUUUAUAGAAUUUAAUUUUUUAUUUAAAAAGUUAAAAUAUGUUAAAAAGACGAGAAGACCCUAUAGAGUUUUAUAAAUAUAUUUAAUAUUAAAAAUUAUUUAUAUGUUAAAAAAAUUUUUAUAAAUUUAUUUAUUUUGUUGGGGUGAUAGAAAAAUAAGUUUAACUUUUUUUAAAGAUUUAACAAAAAUAAAUGAGUAAUUGAUCCAAUUUUAUUGAUUAUAAGAUUAAAUUACCUUAGGGAUAACAGCGUAAUUUUUUUUUUUAGUUCAAAUAAGAAAAAAAGUUUGCGACCUCGAUGUUGGAUUAAGAUAAAAUUUAAAUGCAAAAGUUUAAAAUUUUUG
rnacentral:rRNA from 1 species